UACAGAGGGUGCAAGCGUUAAUCGGAUUUACUGGGCGUAAAGGGCGCGUAGGUGGUUGCGUAAGUAAGAUGUGAAAUCCCCGGGCUUAACCUGGGACGUGCAUCUUAGACUGCGUAACUGGAGUGUAGUAGAGGGUAGUGGAAUUCCCGGUGUAGUGGUGAAAUGCGUAGAUAUCGGGAGGAACACCAGUGGCGAAGGCGACUACCUGGCCUGUUCUUGACGCUGAGGCGCGAAAGCUAGGGGAGCAAACGGG
rnacentral:rRNA from 1 species